rnacentral:lncRNA from 1 species
GCUACCUCAGCCUGAGAACCUGAACUUGGCCUUACUGAGAAAUGGCGCUUGCUCAGACCUGCUGGGAAUUCAAGGGUCACAACAGAAGCCGGGGGACUUUCCAGCAAAUGGUUGUUCCAGAAAAAUCUCAGAAGCACCUGGCCUCUCACGAACACCAGCGCCACAAUAGGAGCCAGCACAUCUCCGACUUCCUGUGCAAGGUGCUGUGUGGAAAGACAGUGGUUUUUUUCGUUAAGAUGCCAAUUUGGGGCUGGUGAGAUGUCUCUGCAGGGAAAGGCGCUUGCCAGGAAGCCUAACAACCCGAGGUCGUGAGCUGGUGGGAGAGAACCAACUCCCACAAGUUACCCUCUGACCUCCACAUUCAGAAACUCCCCGAGGCCAGGCUUUCUUUGGGUCCCUUUGAAAUCAUGGGUCACACAUGGGUGGCACACAGCAGGUGUUCCUUCAUGAGAGAUGACUGGAUGAGCUGGUGACCAUAUCAAUUCCUGGG